ACGCUGUACUGGGCACUUCAGAGAAGAAGAUAAAAAAGCAUGAAGUCUCCCUCCACAAAGACAUCAUCUGGAGGAGCAGACUGACAUGUCCAUAUGUAAAAACUGUACACUGUACACAAGCAAACAAACAGCAAGCUCAGGGCAGAAGGUUUUGGGGCACAUGUGCAGGACUGUUAUAGAGAGAUAUUCCAGGGUUGUAAAGAUAACACUCAAUCUGAAUCAAAGGACAAAUUUGUUUCCUGACCAAGAUGAUCAAGAUAAUAUCUGUCUCCACAGGGGAGGAUGGACAGGUUUGCCAGCAGCCCGUUUAUAAUAUUAGGGAUCCUAGGCUCAGUGUUCCUAUGUGUCAUAGAUCCACAAUGUGCACAGUAUUAACCUGGGCCCACCUCCACAUCACCCCAUAGGUCUUGAGGAUCAAAGAGAAUCAGUAAGAACACAAAGCUCAAGUUGCCUACUGUGUUGUAAUAAACUGUCUAAAUCUG